AGUGAACGCUGGCGGUAGGCCUAACACAUGCAAGUCGAACGGCAGCACAGUAAGAGCUUGCUCUUACGGGUGGCGAGUGGCGGACGGGUGAGGAAUACAUCGGCAUCUACUUUUUCGUGGGGGAUAACGUAGGGACACUUACGCUAAUACCGCAUACGACCUACGGGUGAAAGCAGGGGAUCUUCGGACCUUGCGCGAUUGAAUGCGCCGAUGUCGGAUUAGCUAGUUGGCGGGGUAAAGGCCCACCAAGGCGACGAGCCGUAGCUGGUCGGAGAGGAUGACUAGCGACACUGGAACUGAGACACGGUCCAGACUCCUACGGGAGGCAGCAGUGUGGAAUAUGGGACAAUGGGCGCAAGCCUGGUCCAGCCAUACCGCGUCGGUGAAGAAGGCCUGCGGGUUGUAAAGCCGUUCUGUUGGGAAAGAAAAGCAGCAGGUUAAUACCCCGCUGUUCUGACGGUACCCAAAGAAUAAGCACCGUCUAACUUCGUG
rnacentral:rRNA from 1 species